UACGGAGGGUGCAAGCGUUAAUCGGAAUUACUGGGCGUAAAGCGCACGCAGGCGGUCUGUCAAGUCGGAUGUGAAAUCCCCGGGCUCAACCUGGGAACUGCAUUCGAAACUGGCAGGCUGGAGUCUUGUAGAGGGGGGUAGAAUUCCAGGUGUAGCGGUGAAAUGCGUAGAGAUCUGGAGGAAUACCGGUGGCGAAGGCGGCCCCCUGGACAAAGACUGACGCUCAGGUGCGAAAGCGUGGGGAGCAAACAGGAUUAGAUACCCUGGUAGUCCACGCUGUAAACGAUGUCGACUUGGAGGUUGUUCCCUUGAGGAGUGGCUUCCGGAGCUAACGCGUUAAGUCGACCGCCUGGGGAGUACGCCGGCAACGGUGAA
rnacentral:rRNA from 1 species